rnacentral:rRNA from 1 species
UGGGGAAUAUUGCACAAUGGGCGAAAGCCUGAUGCAGCGACGCCGCGUGAGGGAUGACGGCCUUCGGGUUGUAAACCUCUUUCAGCAGGGAAGAAGCGAAAGUGACGGUACCUGCAGAAGAAGCGCCGGCUGACUACGUGCCAGCAGCCGCGGUAAUACGUAGGGCGCAAGCGUUGUCCGGAAUUAUUGGGCGUAAAGAGCUCGUAGGCGGUUAGUCGCGUCUGCUGUGAAAACUCGAGGCUCAACCUCGGGCUUGCAGUGGGUACGGGCUGACUAGAGUGCGGUAGGGGUGACUGGAAUUCCUGGUGUAGCGGUGGAAUGCGCAGAUAUCAGGAGGAACACCGAUGGCGAAGGCAGGUCACUGGGCCGCAACUGACGCUGAGGAGCGAAAGCAUGGGGAGCGAACAGGAUUAGAUACCCUGGUAGUCCAUGCCGUAAACGUUGGGCACUAGGUGUGGGUCCAUUCCACGGAUUCCGUGCCGCAGCAAACGCAUUAAGUGCCCCGCCUGGGGAGUACGGCCGCAAGGCUAAAACUUAAAUGAAUUGACGGGGUCAUAGCUGUUU